UACAGAGGGUGCAAGCGUUGUUCGGAAUUAUUGGGCGUAAAGGGAGUGUAGGCGGUUUCCUAAGUCUUCUGUGAAAUCUACGGGCUUAGCCUGUAACGUGCAGAGGAAACUGGGAGACGUUGAGUGUCGGAGAGGAUAGGGGAAUACCCGAGUGUAGAGGUGAAAUUCGAUAGAGAUUGGGUGGGAACACCAAGUGGCCGGAAGG
rnacentral:rRNA from 1 species